rnacentral:pre_miRNA from 1 species
UUUUUAAUGUAAGUAUGCCCCAUGCAAAAUUUAGGACAUACUUAUACUAAAA